rnacentral:lncRNA from 1 species
UGUUCUUGGACAAAUCACACGGCUGCAGGUUGUUCAGAGGUGGUGCCGCAGGCUGAACAUGUCCUUCCUUUCCUAGAGCUGCCGACCUAUCCUGCUGCUUGGGUGUUGGUGAAUUCCUGCCUGGUGGCCCAGCCAAAAGCACAUCACUCUGCUACCUUAACAGGAAAUACACUGGCAUUGCAGAGAAGCUUAAUGUGAAGCUCCUGCACUAUUCUGAGAGCCUUUUAGGUGUCCCCAUUGCAUAUAACAUGAAAGUUGUGGUGAACUGGGAGAUAUUUAUGAUGAUCAAGGACACAUUAAUCUUAACAUUGAAGCAGAUUUUGUUAUUUUCUGCCCUGAACCAGGGUAAAAGGUUAUAGUACAGUUAACAAAGUGUCUUCUAGUCAGACUGGCUAUUUUGUACAAAAAUAUUUUAAUACGUCCAUCCCUAAACCUGAGAUGUCAGCUGAGCAGUGGCAGGCUGUGGAGAUAAAUGUGGGUGAUGAACCAGAAUAUGAAGUGUUUCAUCUAGAUUAAGAUGCUACUGAAAUAUUCUGCAUUUAGGGAAAACAAUCACUAGUUUACAACCCAAGAGCUCUGAAGUUUCUGAUAAACCAGCACUGAAGAAGCUUUUGAAAAACUUCCAAAGAAGAAAAAGAGAAACCAGAAAGACCCAGAGAUGAAUGAAGUGGAUGAUGGUACCACAAGCUAGCAAAUUUUGCAGAUGUCACCCCAAAGGAAGAGUUAGACUUACAGAUUAUUACUAAUGUGAAUAGCCUCUGGGAAGAUGAGCCAAAGGAGGAGAAAAAGAAAAAGCAUCAGGACUAGGACCUUGUUUUCCAAAGCAGUGACUCCAGCAGUUAUCAAAGUGACCAUAGAAAGAAAAAAAAAGAAAGAAACACAGUGAAGAAGCUAAAUUUACCCCACUUUUGGAAUGCUCGCCUAAACAGAAAAUAA